GCUUCUCGCAGACUCCGCGACCUACUGACCCGGCGACUCACAGCCUCCAACUACCCGGGACUCAGUAUUAGCCUUCGCCUCACUGGCUCCUCUGCACAAGAGGAGGCUUCCGGAGUAGCCCUCGGUGAAGCCCCAGACCACAGCUAUGAGUCCCUUCGUGUGACGUCUGCGCAGAAACAUGUUCUCCAUGUUCAGCUCAACCGGCCCAACAAGAGGAAUGCCAUGAACAAGGUCUUCUGGAGAGAGAUGGUAGAGUGCUUCAACAAGAUUUCGAGAGACGCUGACUGUCGGGCGGUGGUGAUCUCUGGUGCAGGAAAAAUGUUCACUGCAGGUGUUGACCUGAUGGACAUGGCUUCGGACCUCCUGCAGCCCAAAGGAGAUGAUGUGGCCCGGAUCAGCUGGUACCUCCGUGACAUCAUCACUCGAUACCAGGAGACCUUCAACGUCAUCGAGAAGUGCCCCAAGCCCGUGAUUGCUGCCGUCCACGGGGGCUGCAUUGGCGGAGGUGAGUCUGCGGCUGUAUUCCUGCUCGGGUGCUCCCCAGGUCGGGCUG
rnacentral:sRNA from 1 species